GUUAGCGGCCAGGCCUGAACCCCAGUGGGAUAUUCUACUUCCCCAUCCCAGGAAUGGAGGGGGACUCCAGCGAAAUUACAGGGAAUUCGUGGUCACGGGACCGGCCUCCGCCAAUCGCUCGUCUGGGCCUGGUGGAAAACAGAGAGCAUUAUUUGGUUUAAUUGAUUCAAAAACACCAGAGGACCACGACCAGGACACCAUGAGCCCCCAUUCCUACACCAGUGCCUCACAUGCUCUCUCCCCAAUGCCUCCGUUUCUCCAGAAAAGCUAGAGGAACCUUUUCCUCAUCCCCUUCGAAGGAAAAGAUGAGUGAGGAUCUCCGCGUUGGAGGAAGAGGGAGUCGAAAGAGGCUUCCACUCUUUGAAAAAGACCCAAUGGUGGUUGGGCUUCGGGUCACGUGACACCUUCUUUGUGGCUCCGGAAGAGGAUUGUGAAGUUUAGGUUUCGUGGAAGAAACCGAUAAUUGAGGAAAAAAAAAAAUCAAGAUUUGGGGGGAAUUACCUACAAAGAUGUAAGGUGUGUUAAUUUGGGCGCUUCUUGGAUUCUACCCUGAGGAGGAGGCGCGUGGUGAGAGGAGAGCUCCACCAGCUGCGCGCUCGUGUACGCCGUCCGCGCCCGCUUGGACGCCGCCGACCCCGGGGGGCUCUUGUCCCCUCCCCCGCCGCCGCCGCCACCGCCCCCGCUGCCACCACUGCCUCCGCCGCCGCCGCCACCGCCGCCGCCACCACAGCCCUCUGCUGGAUCCGAGGGGGAGGGGUGGGAAGGGGAGAAAAUGAAAUAAAAGAUAAUUACUGAACACGCCGAAA
ensembl:lncRNA HOXB-AS1 HOXB cluster antisense RNA 1